CCUACGGGAGGCAGCAGUGAGGAAUAUUGGUCAAUGGCCGAGAGGCUGAACCAGCCAAGUCGCGUGAGGGAAGACGGCCCUACGGGUUGUAAACCUCUUUUGUCGGGGAGCAAAGCGAGUCACGUGUGACUCAUUGAGAGUACCCGAAGAAAAAGCAUAGGCUAACUCCGCGCCGGCAUCCGCGGUAAUAAGGAGGAUGCGAGCGUUAUCCGGAUUUAUGGGGGUUAAAGGGUGCGCAGGCGUAGGUGCAAGUCAGCGGUGAAGUUGCGGGGCUCACCCCAGUACUGCAGUUGACACUGCAUCCCUUGAGUGCGCGAGAAGUAUGCGGAAUGCGAGGUGUAGCGGUGAAAUGCAUAGAUAGCACGCAGAACUCCGAUUGCGAAGGCAGCAUACCGGCGCACAACUGACGCUCAUGCACGAAAGCGUGGGUAUCGAACAGGAUUAGAUACCCCUGUAGUC
rnacentral:rRNA from 1 species